AACGAACGCUGGCGGCAGGCUUAACACAUGCAAGUCGAGCGCCCCGCAAGGGGAGCGGCAGACGGGUGAGUAACUCGUGGGAACUUACCUUUUGGUUCGUAACAACUCCGGGAAACUGGAGCUACUACCGGAUAAGCCCUCACGGGGAAAGAUUUAUCGCCGAAAGAGUGGCCCGCGUCUGAUUAGCUAAUUGGUGAGGUAACGGAUCACAAAGGCGACGAUCAGUAGCUGGGCUGAGAGGAUGAUCAGCCACACUGGGACUGAGAGACGGCCCAGACUCCUACGGGAGGGAGCAGUGGGGAAUAUGGGACAAUGGGCGAAAGCAUGAUCCAGCCAGGCCGCGUGAGUGAUGAAGGACUUAGGGUUGUAAAGCUCUGUUGUCAGGGAAGAUAAUGACUGUACCGGAAGAAUAAGCCCCGGCUAACUUCGUG
rnacentral:rRNA from 1 species